UGCUUCACAUCUCCUGGGAAGCUGAUAUGAGAAUCAAAAAGGUCCACUUGAGGAAUAGUGGAAAGUCUUCCAGACACCUACUACGAGUUUCCUACUUGAUCAUCUUCAUCAGUAAAUAAGAACAAGGGCAUAAAACUUUGGCCAUUGCCAUGAAAUGGCAAAAAUGUUCAGGGCAGUUGAGUUGAAGGAGGUGUGUUGAAAGUUACUAACAAGGAAUCAGAAGAGUUAAGUUACACCACUGCAUGAGUCAGUUCUGGCUCUAUUCAGGUUGCGGAACUAGGAAAACUAGUUGUCAGUCCUGAGUAUGUACAGAUAGGACUAUGACUGAAAACUAUCAAGGUAGAAUUCUGGAGAACAUUAAUCAGCAAGGCAAAAACCAGAUUUGAUUUUUUAAAAAUCCCAACUAAUUGCACUUGAAGAAAUGUAGAAGAGCAGUCACUUACCUAGUUUAUGGUAAACGUUCAUUGCCUUGGAGUGAGGAUGUCACCAGAAGCCCCCUUGGUACAGUGUCUUGGAGGAUUCAUUUAAGACUGAUAGGAGAAAGCAGCACCUUCUUGAUUUCACCCACAUGUGUAACAGGCACAUGGAGGAGGGAUAUGAUGCCCUGCUCACACUAUUGCCACUUUUGCCUAUUAUCUUGGAGGAACAACAUGAAAGCAAGUUUCAGAGGCAGUAUGAUGCUGAGGAGAUGAAUAGGAGAAUGCUAUUGCACUGAUGUCCCAUUUGUGUUUCUCCAGGAGCAUCUGGUUGGCCACCAUAGGAACGCUAUGUUGGACUACAUAUCCUUUCCAUGUUGCAAAUGAAGAAAUGGUGAAUGUGCUUGCACAAGCUACUAUGCGGCUACAGCAGAGAUAGAGACAGUUAGGGCUUCCUCUUAUAUUCCCUAUGGUUUUGUCUGCUCUAUUGCUUCCUUGUCUAAUGGCCUGGACUAAGGGAAGAGCUUCAGAGACAAAAUUCCACUACCAUGCUGAGACCACUCAAACUAUUCAUCCCCACAUACAAUCCUAUGCAGCCAGAAGUCUAUAUGAUUUUAUUAGGUCUGUCCUCACUUUUACUCAUCCCAGCUCUUGUGCAAUCGUUAUCUUAGGCAUGUAGACUUUUAUAGCCACAAGACCCCACCAUCCUCUAUGAAACAUGUACUUACCAAGAUAAAUACUUUGCAUUUAAUUUUUAGAUUCUAUGGAUUACAAUCCAUUUCCUCAGACAUACAAAGUGAAAUAUUUUCAUGAGGAAACAAUCAACAAAAAUGAUACUGAAAUAAAUCUAUUAGUUUUUGAAAUGCUACAAUACAGUGGUGUCUCGACUUACGAACUUCCCGACAUAGGACCAUUUUGGGUUACAACCAGCUCCAGCCGCCAAAUUUUGCUUCGACUUGCAGCCAG